GCGAUCCUGGUCUAACGGCAAGACACGGCCCUUCCAAGGCCGGAGAUGUGGGUUCAAAUCCCACGGAUCGCUCCA
rnacentral:tRNA from 1 species